rnacentral:rRNA from 1 species
AUUGAACGCUGGCGGCAGGCCUAACACAUGCAAGUCGAGCGAGCGGCGGACGGGUGAGUAAUGUCCGGGAAACUGCCUGAUGGAGGGGGAUAACUACUGGAAACGGUCGCUAAUACCGCAUACCAUCAGAUGUGCCAAGAUGGGAUUGGCUAGUAGGUGGGGUAACGGCUCACCUAGGCAACGAUCCCUAGCUGGUCUGAGAGGAUGACCAGCCACACUGGAACUUAGACACGGUCCAGACUCCUACGGUAGGCAGCAGUGGGUAAUAUUGCACAAUGGGCGCAAGCCUGAUGCAGCCAUGCCGCGUGUGUGAAGAAGGCCUUCGGGUUGUAGAGCACUUUCAGCGUGGAGGCGUUACCCGCAGAAGAAGCACCGGCUAACUCCGUGCCAGCAGCCGCGGUAAUAC